rnacentral:lncRNA from 1 species
UAGGAGAUCUGUCCCAUCCACCAGCAGCCUCCACCGCGAGUCCCCUCCUUCCUAGGAGAUUUGUCCCAUCCACCCACCUCCUUGAUUUGCCAACCGAGCCAAACCAGCGCGCCGUCGCACACCUCUCCGCGAUCCCCUCGUCCUCGGCCUGCUCGAGUAGUCAACAUUUGGCCACCGCGACGAGCCUACUUCCCCUGGACGUGUCCAACGCCCGCAGAGGCAGUCGCCCGAAUAGCUUCCGAUCCUCAAGCCGGAGCUGGAUCUAGCCCACCGCCGCGCCCUCAAACCAACCGUGUCAUUGCCAGAGCUGCUCCAGGCCAUCCCCGCGUCGCCUCCAGCCAACAGCAGGUCAAGCGGAGCCGCGCCCUGCUAUUGCUUUCCUCCUCCCCAUGCUUUCCCCUCAUCUCUCUCAUGUGUCUCUCUCAAACCAAGCGCCAUGGCUGCCAUCUCAGGAGCUCGGAGUUGCCGCCAUGGAGACCCGCGCUCCUGUUUCUGUGUGUUGCCUUUGUCAGACCAGCUCCAUGCCCGUCGUGGCCUUGCUCCUCGCCCGGUUCAGCGUCGCGCCCGUUCGUCCAGCGCUCGAGGCAGCCACCUCAUCUGCGUUGCCCCUCUGUCGCAAGCCAGCAGGGGAGGAACUCCUCAACCGCGCCAACCAGCGAGCACGCACCCCGUUCCUGCGCGCGCCUCGGUUGCCAGACCAGCAGAUGAGCACCGUCCCUUUCCUAUUCCCUUCCCUUGUCCUUCCUUCUCUCUUGCCCAUCUCUCUCUCUCUCUCUCUCUUUUUGUGGUGUACCAGGGGCAACAGCCGCAUCGGAUGACAUGGAUGCCCAGCACCCAGCUCUGUCCCCGGUGGUGGAGCUCCGCCUCACCGUCCCAUCGCCCGCCCGUGUUCUCUUUAGGAAGUCGGACCCCUCCUUCCGUGCGCCCUCCGCCAUGGAGCUCCACCUCUGAGCGAGGAAGAUACAACCCCGUCUAUUCAUCUCUGAAGCUAUAACCUCUUUGUUUCCUUGUGAGCAUCGUAUCUGAAUCAUAUUUCUUUUUGUACAUCCGUUUCUAUCACGUGGAGGUAAUACAAAGUUGGCACUAGUUCAGUCAAGAAGCAUUUGUUUUUCCGAGUUGGCUAUCGUAGCAGUCUUUCCCGAUCGCGCAUGUUUUGGUCAUGGUCCGUUCUAUUUUACUUUGUUUUGCACCCACACCUGCACCCUGAUGUAGUUCUGAUAAAUCUAACUAAGAUCCCAAAUUAUAUCACAAAUAGUAUGUAGCCGAGUUGUCUAGAGAAUUCGGACUCCACCGCGAGGUCCUGGGUUUGAAUCCAGUACACCCGGCAUUUUUAUUUGUUUUGGUUGUCUCGGUUUUUACCAACUUGCACGUGUGGUUUAUAUAAGACCGAAUCCAUCCCAUAUUGUAUGACUACUUUAGUGCAGAUGGUCGUCCCAGUGCUUUUUUAUUUUCACCCUGUGUUUUUAUUUUUCUUUUGCAUGCAUGUUGCAUCCAUGUCAUAUGAUCUUGUGUGGCCCGUAUCUCUUCGGAUGUGCUAUAUAUGUGUAACCGUCUAGUAUGACGUGUAGAAUCACAUGCUUCACCUCGUGCCAUGUUUAAACAACAUUUAAUAUUGCCGUGUACCUAAACGGUAGUGAACUAAAUAAUCGUAUGUGGAGUUUUGUCAAUAUGCAACUCGUUGCAUAUUGAGCUUCACUUAAUGUGUAGUGUUCGAUUGUGUGAAUAGUCAUGACAUGCCUUGCAUAAUUGAAUUGGACAUGCAUCAUAUUUGGUUGUGCGUCAUAUCGUGCAUGUGUCGUGGUGAAUAUCGUGUGUUGAUUCUUGUUUCUGGUUUUGUUCGUCUCGAUAGAGUUCCACAAGCGUGACAGAAUGUGAGGAUCCGUUCGACUACGUAAGUUCGUCUGCUUCACGGAUUCGUUCUUCUUCCAAACGGGAUCACAGGCAAGAUGAUCAUUUCCCUAGAUACCAUUAUUAUCAAUGCCAUGCUAGUUGUCUCGUUUCAUUCGUUAUGUCUCGUUUCCUAUCACCUGUUAAAUGUCAGCCUCUCAACAUUGGCAUGAAACCUUCAACCUUUCCACAACCUAGCAAACCACUCAUUUGCUAUGUUACCACUUGCUUAACCAUGUGUUAGCGUUGCUAGUUGCAGGUGCAGUUGCUUCCAUGUGUUAACAUGGGUUCCGUGUUAUAUCACCAUAUAACUGCUAAUUAAUUUAAUGGGCCUAUAUACUUGGUAAAAGGUGGAAGGCUCCGCUUUCUAGCCUGGUGUUUUGUUCCACCUUUGCCCCCUUAGUUUCGAUUACCGGUGUAUUAUUCCAUAAUUGAGUGCUCCUAACACGAUUGUGGUUGUUAUGGGGCCCCCUUGAUAAUUCGUUUUAGGUUAAUACUGGUCUGGCAAGGUCCAACUUUGUACUACAAUUGCCUAACAACCUAAUAAAAUUGCAGAAGGACUUUUCGGACCCCAUGGAUAUUUAAUCAACAACCCGGGUCAGUGAUCCUCACGAGUGUUGGUCCAAAACGGAGCCACUUGCGGGGCCACCCGGGUCAACUCGGGGAUUGUUUGUACGGCUGUUGGGGAACGUUGCAUGGGAAACAAAAAAUUCCCUACGCACACGAAGACCUAUCAUGGUGAUGUCCAUCUACGAGAGGAGAUUAGAUCUACGUACCCUUGUAGAUUGCUAAGCGGGAAGAGUUAAGAAACGCGGUUGAUGUAAUGGUACAGCUUCGUGAUUCAAAACACCAUCGUCCCACGAUCCGUUCCGAUCUAGUGCCGAAUGGACGGCACCUUCGCGUUCAACACACGUACAACUCGAUGAUAAUCUCGGCCUACUUGAUCCAGCAAGAGAGACGGAGAAGUAGAUAAGUUCUCCGGCGGUGUGACGGCGCUUCGGUGGUUGUGAUGAUCUACUCCUGCAAGGCUCCGCCCAAGCUCCGCAGAAAUCCUAUCUAGAGGUAAAACUAUGUGGAAUAGGCUAGAGUUGCACGUGGCAAAGUUAUGUCUCAAAAAACCCUAAACCACCAAUAUAUAUAGCAGGAGGGGAGGGGCUACCCUUGGGGCACAAGGGCCCCAAGGGUGCGCCGGCCGCCGGGGAGGAGGAGGACUCCUCCUCCAAUUCGGUUUGGGAAGGAGGAGUCCUCCUCUUCCUUCCAACCUCCCUCUUUCCUUUUCUUCUUCUUUUCCUUUGGUAUUUUACAUGUGGCGCCGUAGCCCUCUUGGGCUGACUCUACCAGCCCAUUAAAGACUUGGUGCGCCACCCUAGGGCCUUGGGAUCACUCCCGGGUGGGUGGGGCCCUCCCGGUAAAUACCUGGAACCCAUUCAUCACUCCC